rnacentral:rRNA from 1 species
AGGACGAACGCUGGCGGCGUGCUUAACACAUGCAAGUCGAGCGGAAAGGCCUUUCGGGGUACUCGAGCGGCGAACGGGUGAGUAACACGUGAGUAAUCUGCCCAUCGCUUCAGGAUAGCCAUCGGAAACGGUGAUUAAUACUGGAUAUGACAUUCCUUCGCAUGUUGGGGUGU